GGGGACCUUCUUAUCCGGGCACAAUGGUAAUGUUACCCUGUCCUCGGAGCACAUUUGAUCGGCAAGCAAGAUCGGCUUGUGGAAACCACAAACUACACCCGGGAAGAGGCCGCUGAGCCCUGAAAGCCGGUGGCCCUGAAAAGCCCCCUCCAGCCAGCAGUACCGCAAAGGGAACGAAAAAUCGAGGUCAACUUAAAACCGACAGCGGAGCUCUGGGGAGGUGGGGGGGGGGGGGGGGCGGGGUGCCCAAGCAGGGUUUCUCCAACCUGGAACGUUUCCCAGAAGACAAGCCCGGUAUUUCCCAAGGUAUGCCAUGUUUUAGGAAAUACGGGGUCACAUGACUUCAUAACCUUGAAUCGGUUAAGUGUCCGACUUCAGCUCAGGUCAUGGUCUCGCGGUUCAGGAGUUCGAGCCCCGCAUCAGGCUCUGUGCUGACAGCUCGGAGCCUGGAGCCUGCUUUGGAUUCUGUGUCUCCUCCUCUCUCUGUCCCUCCCAGGUUCAUGCUCUGUCUUUCUCUCAAUAUAAAUAAACGUUAAAAAAUAAAUAAAUACUAGGUAACUGACAUGGUGAAAUUUCUGAGUGCUGUUUGCGGAUGACCAAAGUUUAGGGCACUCUGUCGUAAGCCAUCGUUCCACUCGUGAUUUCUGUCCCCUGCUUUUAGUCAGUUCUGUCACUUGCCGAUUAAAGUGGAAAACUCUCUGUUGCAGGGAGUAAUCCAUCUGGAAAAGGAUUCAGAGGUCUGUAGUGAUCUUGACAAGGUCCUUCCCCUUUCUGGAACCGGGCUGCCCCAUCUUUGAAACGGAUACCGUCUUUCGGAAGUUUUCUCAGAAGCGUGACACGGAGGAGCUCCUUAGCGAGUGGAAAUACGAACGUCGGAAUUUGCUUUGACCAGAAAUUCCAUUCCAUAACACGGCCUGCAGACGCGCUGAUGGCACUUUCGAGCUUCCGUUAUGCUAACCUUUCCCUGGUUGACACUCGCUCGCGAUUCAGAUCCUCGGGAAAAACCAGAGAAGCGGUCCCUAACCCUACGCGGUAGGCAUUCUGGAUCUCCUUCCGGGCGCAGGGAGGAUUCCCUCCCACCCUCUUUCAAGUUGCGUGUGGCCUUGGGACUUGAACUGGCCGAUGAAAGGUGAGCAGAGGUAACAUGGCGGCCUCUGGGAAGGAACGCGGAAGCGCAUUUCUUUCUCCUGUGAUCGUGGGAGCCGGGUCGAGAUGGAGCCUCUGUGGGCCAGUUCCUGAGCGAGCACAGGGUCAAGGCCCGCGUGAGAGAAAAGCCCAUAUGCCUCGUUAACCCCUGAGUUUGCGGGGGCUCUUUGUUCCACAGCAAAACAUAAUUUGACCGGGCUGAUACACCCAGCUUUGCUCCCACACUUGGUCAGGUCUCUGUCUGAUACCAUGAACUUUCCUUCCAGAUCACUUAUCGUGGCGGCAAUCUCUUACUUAUGUGUAUCAAUCUGCGUAAUGUCUGUUUCCCCCACGAGGCCAAAAGUUCCAUGAGGGCCUCAACCAGGUCUGCCUCGCUCACCAUUGUAUCUCUAGCUCCUAUGCUUGGCUCUUGCCAGAUGCUUAAUGACAUUUGUUGAGCGACCGAAUGAACGAGUGAAUGGUUCAGGUGACCAGACAGUAACAUAAAUACAAGCACAUGGGAAACAUUAGGCCCCAAACCAAAAAAAGUACGAUGUUCUCGUAACGAGUGGGUGAUUCAGAUUCAACAGGUUAAAAUCUCUGACUGGCUGGCCAAAAGACGGCUCCUACCCUCUGAGCUAUAUGCCCUGUCUCAAACCGGCUGUGUGACCUCAAGCAAGAGUCUUUCCCUCUCUGGGCCUUGACUUUCUCAAAUGAAGGCAAUCAUUUCUGGGAGCUUCCGUAUGGGGGGUAAGGUUACGUUGAAGUAUGCCUUUAUGUAUUUUUUUAAAGUUCAUUUAUUUUGAGACGGGGGGGGGGGUGGGCAGAGGGAGAGGAGAGAGAGAAUCCCAGUGUAGAGCCUGAUGCGGGGGGGGCUCGAGCCCACAAACCGUGAGAUCAUGACCUGAAUUGAACUCAAGGGUCAGACACUUAACCGACUGAGCCACCCACGCGCCCUGCACUUACGUGUUUUAUAAAUACUCAUUAUAAGACUUAUGCUGGGCAGACAAUUAGAGCACAAUACCAUCCCGGUUGUACUUCUCCAGCAGCUUUGCAUGUGUCUGUCACCAAAGCGGCCUAACGCACCUGAGAUGUCAGUUCCCACUUAGAAACCUCUUUGGGGUGCCUUUCCGCAAUGGCCUACAGUGAGGCCAAGAAAAAAAACAGCACAUUCUCUUAAAGAGUCUACUGGGUGUCUCUUCUCACUUGAAAUGGUGCCUUGUGCAAUCCAGAAAUGAGGCUGGGAGACACGAUUUUUCACCCGUAGGCUCGUGGUGAGGGAGGGGGCUCCCUGGCGUCCAGGGCCCAAGAAACCUCUCCACGCCGCCAUGAAACGAAAGAGGCUCCCGAGAGCAGAACAGAGCUGCUCGCGUAUUACAAAAUCGAUGCCCAUCAGUGCGCAGAGCGGCUACACUGCCUUCCGUGCGGACAAAUGUACCGGAGGGGACACGGUGCAACAAACUCGUCAACCCGGCUUCGCCCCUCGCAGUUUUUACAGCCAUAAUUAAGUUUUGAAUGGAUCCAGGGGAACCUUCACAAAAAACCAAGCUAAAAUGCUAAGGAGCAAUUGUCUCUGGAAAGGAAGGCUCAUCCUGCUUCCCAACUGGGGAUUCUUCCACGGAGGCAUGGCCUCGGGACGCAUGAGCCUUCUGGUUUGCCUCUCUGAAGUCGCCUGGGUCUGUGUCCACUCCUUCCAGCACAUUCCAAAGGAAUCCAAAUCCCCUUCCUGUAAGUCUGGGGCCAGACAGAGCAGUGCCGGUCACCCUGCCUCCUUUCUGACCCUUGCAGGAUGCUGACUCGUAGGCUACGACAAAACCCAAGCAGAGAGUUGCAACUGAUCCCUCCCGAGGUCCUCUUAACUCUCGGUGAGCCUCCGUCACCCCCCCAAGUCAGGGAGGAUUUGCCUCCAGUUCCAGUCUUUGCACAAAGCACCCACUUCAGCCGAAGCUGCAUCCUCUAAGAUGUCAGCCCAGGGGUCAUAAACAAGCGGCAGCCAUCAUCUACCAAAAAACCCAGGAGGCCAAGAAUUGGCAACACGGCAAAGUUGGUUACUGCUUGACAACCUGGUCUAUGUUCUUCCAGGAUGUCAUCUCCUUAGGAAGAAGACACCUGUUAGGCAGAACGGUGGCCCCCAGGGGUACCUGCUCAGAGGUGGAACCAUGUGGUGGGAACCAAGUGAUUGUGGAGACUGAAGAGGGGGAGCCCAUUGUAGAGAUCAGAUUACUGAGGCAGUGAAACAGCUAGCUAGCCGUGAUGAAAGGGAUUCAAGGCCCCUAGGGUCGGAAGCCCUUGAUACUUGUUAAAAUGUAUAAUCCCAGGCCCGGUGCCAACCUACUACAUCAGAAUCUCUAGGGCCGGAAUCCUGGCACUUAUAAUUGUAGCAAUCUGGAAAUGGCGAGUCUGGUCUCUUGCUUUCUCACACACACUCAGCCAGCUUGAUUCUGAUGAUGAGCCAUGAAGUCCAAGAAUCUUCGCAGUAAAACUUAAUUCCUCCCUCCCCACUCUAGGGUUACCUUAAAAGGAGGCAGAUGUGAAAGCUGACGAAGACAGUAUGCUAGCCUGGCUGAACUGAAAUAUGCAAGUUUUCAAAAUCUUUUCUCUCUGCAUGGUAUUUUUCUGGUGAUUGGUGUUGCCGCCGUCAAGAUCCCUUCUCUACUCACUUGGGCAAAACCCACAACGUUUCUGAAGGCUUUCUGGAGGGGUCGGCUCUCGCCAAUCAGGUAUCACCCAUUUUAGGUCAGCCUCAAAGGAAGGAAGGUGCCACUGAGCCCCUGUCCGGGCUCCGCCCAGCCUGUGAAUUCCAAGUUUGCCCUCCUGGUUGUCCAGAGGUGAAGUUCUCCCCUCUCCCUGGCCUCCUUGGAGCUACACUUCCCCUCUUCGUAAAGCAGCUGGGCCCUUCUUGGCAGCUGCUACAGGUUAGUAAAUUACAAGUUUGAGAUUAAAAAAGAAAUGAUGACAGAAUAAAACCUUUAGUCUGGCAAUUUGGAGUCAGACGGCCACAAUGAACACCUGUUGAGAAGGACCAUUAUUCGAGGCUGGAGGUUCUGGGUGAAAAGAUCACUGUGAAUUAAUUUUGAUUGCCUCACAAAACUCUGCAUAACAAAUGAUCUCCGAUGGGGGUGUCCAGGGACUUGCAUUUGAAGGAGGGGGGAUAUUUGGUUUCCAGCAAGGUAAUACGAGCUCUAGCACGAUAUUAAAAUCCACCACUGGCUGCACUCGUCUGUAUGCUUCUGUUGAAACAGAUUGCGCAUGCUAAGGUUACCACGUAUUAUGCUUCUGGGGAAAAAAGAGAAACAAUUGAUAUCAAAAUCUUUUAAAAAGGUUAGUUGAGAAAGCAUGAGGUCAGAGACUCAUGACUCCCAAAUUGUUAAAUCAUUUAUUUACGUCUGUGUCUAUGUAAAUGGAGAUUUGGGUGUGCUCUCGGUGAUUUAAACAGCCUUUAUUUUUUUUAACACACACACACACACACACACACACUCAUAACUUUUUUUUUUUUUGCAAGGGAAGAAUAGAGUAAAAGAUGUGUUAAUAAACGGAUUCACUUGCAGUUAGAUGCCCUUUGUACUUUGUAAUGUCAUCAGAAAUGAGGAAAAGUUAGGCAUUAGAGAUCACGGGGCAUGGUGGGGGGGGGGAUAUACUGAAUAUUAAGUAGUCUCAUUCUUUCCUGAAAAGAAAGAGACUCCAACUAAAAUAUGCCGGCGUCCUACCUGUCUGUCAGCCCCUGAUUAAAUCUAAAAGCAGGCAUCCCAUCUGUUUGCCCAAAUGAAAAGUGUAAUAUUCUACUAACUACUUUGUAUUAUCGUUCAACUUAAGAGUUUCCUGCAAAAUGAUCCUCGGUUCAUUUGAAGUUUAUUUGGCACACAAAAGGAAGCUCUAGAAAGCUUUAUGCUUUUAAGCUAAUAAGCAAUAUACCCAGCUGACUCUGUGGCUGAAUUUUCAACACUGGGCCAUUAAUAUAACAUGAAUUUUCAUAGUCGGAGACUUCCAUUUGUCAUGAGACAUAAACCCUCAAAAUACCCUGAGAGCAGGGGACAACCAGGAAUAUAAGCAAAAUUCUACUACUUUGACCCCCCCCCCCCCCCGUUAGGAUCUUUCUAAUAGUGUAGACGUGUAAAACCGUGUUGGCUUAUGUACCAAUAUUUCCCCCACCAACCGUAUCAUUUUGCUAAAACUAAAAUCUGUUCUUCCAAAUGUGUUGGGGCUUAGCCUCCAGGGCUGGAGCACAGCCCGUUAAUGAGCCCCUUACCCUAAAGCCCCCAAAGAGAGCCACUCUUACAAAGUUUGAAGAUGCCACUGGUCCUUGCCUUUGUUUCUAGUUUAUCAAAAAGAUUUGGGAAGCCUCGCUGUGAGCAAAAGCUACUCCGGUUCUUGCAAAUGCUCUCUCCCCAGGAGCAAACGCUUUUAAAAAGAAUUCCAAUUUCUGCACGAUUUGGGAAGUCUUUGGGGGUUCCUCUGAGAUAUUAGAUAAUUGAAUAUAGCUUUCUCCCAUUGAAAAAAAAAUUCACACAUCCAACGACAGCCCCCAAACUCCCAAGAUCCCUUAGCACACUAGUCAAUUUUAUGACAAAAUUAAUCUGGAACGUGACUUAUGGAGCCCCAGAGGGAAGUCAGUGGGCCCGGUAAAUAUGUAAACAUGGCUUUUUCGGUUUCCGUUUCGCAUGAAUACAAAAUAAACUGCGGCCCUCCACACGCUGGAAAGUUCUUCCUUAAAGUUAAUAAAAUCUGUCAACUUCCAUAAAGGCUGAAAGGAAGGGGGUCCACAGGUGCAGGCGCUCGGGCUGGGGCUCGGGCAGUCGGGGCAGCUAAUAAAAAGCCCUGGGCACUGCGCGCCUCCUUCCCCAUCAAUUCUCAUCAAGCGUUAUUAGAGUCAUCUGCCGCCUCUGAGGUGCGUCCCCCGCGCUCGCCCCGCAGAAGCGACAAAGACAUUUGGCCGCGCUGCAGGUGCGGCUGUGUGUGGCCGCGCGGCCCGAGUGGGGCCGCCUUUGUGGCGCUCGGGUCCUUUGAUCUGGGCCACAAAGGGCCGCAGAGCUGCAGCCCCCCUGCUUUCUGCUGGCGGCACCGCCCGG